rnacentral:misc_RNA from 1 species
CCCAACUAUCCCUAUUAAUCAUUACGUCGAUCCUAGAAACCAACAAAAUAGGGUCAAACGUCCUAUUUCAUUAUUCCAUGCUAAUGUAUUCAAGCGCGAGCCUGCUUUAAACACUCUAAUUUUUUCAAAGUAACAGUCCUGAUUCCCCGCCACACCAACUGAAUGGCAUGACGGUUCUUCAGAAGGGAGAAACCAGUGACACCAGUGCAUACCGAAGGCACGACCAGCGUACUGAUCUCGAAAUUCAACUACGAGCUUUUUAACUGCAACAACUUUAAUAUACGCUAUUGGAGCUGGAAUUACCGCGGCUGCUGGCACCAGACUUGCCCU